UUAUACAGCCGUUUGAGAAAAUGACUAUCGGUGUAUUUUUCAUAGUCGCCAAAAGUAACCAUUUAGGUUUCCCUGUUGCAGAAUUGCAUUUAUUUUACUCAGCUCUGUGGAGCUGGAGGAGGUUGGGACUUCAUUACCAUGAUCUCUGUCUCCACCUCCAUCUUUGAGGAGCUGACAGGUAAUCUGCAUGAUUCCACUCACCUUUGUGACUGUCUUUAUGAAUGAAUCAGUCCAGGGGAUCAAGAAGUCGUCUGUGUUCAAAGACUCUGCAGCUGACUGAUCAACUGUGAGUCUGUUUUAAACUGAAUCUUUUUAUGGGUGCGGAGCUUUUGGAGGCUUUCCCAGUUACCGUCGGGUGAAGGUGGACAGGUCAACAGUCUGUUCCAGGACCACACACUGAUAAUCACAAUUAAAGGGCAAUUUAGGGCAUCCAAAUAACCUAUGAAGCAUGUUUUUGAAACCCUCACAUGAGAACAUGCAAAGUACUCACAGAAAUGACCCGACAUUUGAACCAGGGCCUUCUCACUAUGGCUGUGUCCAAAUUCAGCGGCUGUGUCCUCCUUGGCAGCAUAUGUCGGCUGCUGACGUCAUAGCGCCGCUACAAGUGCUGUCCAAAUUCAACAGCUACUUCAAAUGCAGCCAACGAAUGCGGCCUUCCUUUUCCCAAAUUCAAGGAUCGCUCUGGUGUAUCAUCCUUUGCUGCUCAUAUCCCAAGAUCCGAAGAUUUUUCUGACAACGGUGGACUUUGAUGCGGGACCCGGAAAUUUCACUUUUUAAUGUAAGUAAAAAUUGUAAACUGUUAAGUUUAUGGUUUUGAUGAUUAACUUAAAACAUUUUAACGUUAUUUUUAUCUGAAAUUAUACAAUAAAAGUGCUUAUAUAGCGGUCUCUGCUCGUAUGCUAGAUCCUGCAGAUGCUCUUCGCUCGUUCACUAUUUUUUUUCUUUCGUAAUAAAAACUGUAUUUUUUUAAAAUGUUACUUUAAAACAUUUUAUGUCCUUUUAAGGACCAAAGAACAGACGGAAGCUUUUAUAAAGCUCAGGGGUGAAAAUGAUCAUCUUUUCACUGGCCCAAAAUUUUCGGCUGCUCUGGCAUGGAGGACAAUUCUGGAGAAACUGGGGCUUACAGCCCAGGAAAAAGUGGGAUAAGGAGGGAGACUUUUGUCGAACUUUUCAGUCUGCCGGAAAAAAAAUGACAAUAAAUGAAUAACUUAGAUUUCUGAAAAUAGAUAAAUGACGUUUAUAUUUGAUAUAUUAACAAUUUUUGAUUUGUUAAUUUAAAUAAAAGUAUAAAUCCAAAACAGUAAUUGUCAUGAAUUCAUUGUAACACUUACGACUAGUUACAAAGAUGGUCGACAUGGAUGGGGUACUUCAGAUGAAACCCAUAGCUGGAACUUUGCUCGUGGUGAUUAGAAAAUCAUGCAGGAUGAUCUGCAGAGAUAUUCAGGAUGCUUCUUAACUGCAUCGUCCAUCAUCAAAGUUUGCAGGGCUGGCUGUCGACGGAUCCUGCAUGACCAAAAAUGAUCCAUAAAUACAUACAUAUGUAAUAAUACAUGCACAAUCGGAAAUCUUUUGUAAAAAGAAAAUGUUUUUAUUAGGAGGACUGCAAGGGAGUCCCUGUUCACUCUGAAGUCUGGUCUUGGAUCUUCACUGUUAAAAAAAAAAAAUGUUCCAGGAUUGGGAGACUCAGGUUGAGUCUACAUUACAGGGGUCUAGACUGGUUAAAAAAGAAAUACACAAGAAAUACAUUUUUAUUGAAAACAUGUGGUUUUACGUAUUUUGUUGCUAUACUACAACACAUCAUUAUACUUAGGUGAACACCUGAAUAACAAAAUACUUAAAUACCACUUGUAUUGAUUUCAAAUAAGAGUAGAGUAAAAUUGUUAAAAAAUUAAUUUCAGCAAUAAAAGAGGUCAGAAGAUAAAAUUAACAUUUAGCCCUAUUGUAGACUGAUUAAUAAAAUUAAACUAAUUAUUUCUUACAUGUUUUUUAUGCUCAGAAAAAAGGUAGUUACUUAUACUCAGUUGCAUUUACUGCAACAACUUGUGUGAAAUAAACAAAACUUUGAUACUCUUCAAACCCACAAAUUCAGUAAUUGUAUAUGUCAGACCUGUAAUGCAGUUGCUAAAUAAAUAUAUCCAUGAAACUAGCUAAAGAAAAUAUGUAAAGAGCUUGUAGAAGUCUUUUUUAAGCGUUUGUACACAGUACCUGCAUAUUUUUUUUCUCAGCCACUAAAAUAGCAAGUGCCCCCAACGGCGAUGCAUCCGCUCCAACUCCUCCAAAAUCAAAAGUUGAAUCAAAUAACUCAAACAUUUCGAGCUUCAUGCUUCAGAACAUGUUCAACUCACUGUGUCUAGGCUACAGGAAAUUAGCCAGCAAGGCCAGACCUACUUGCAUUUUGUGCAAUAAAGUAAUUAAAAAUAAAAAAAAAAAAUAAAAAAACAAGGCUAGACCAUGUGACAUAGUCACUGUGUUUGUAAAUUUUUUAUAUGGUAUCUUGAAUGUUAAGCAAAAAAAAAAAGAAAAAAAAAAAACAUAACAAGAGCCAUAAAUCUGAGCAUAAGAAUUACAGAAAUUAAAAUAUGGGUUUCUGUGAACAUUUGAAGUCUGCUGUAAAAUUGGUUGUGGUCUUUUUGAGUGUUUUUUUUGUAUGUAUUAUUUUUGUUUGCUGUGAGCCGUUUACCUGGAGGAAAGGUGGCCACGCCCCCUUCCAAGUUUAUUAAUUGGGCUGGUGUCGGGAUGACGCGAGGAGGAAGGAAACCGGAAAACGCCAGGAGGAGACGCGUCUUGGAGGCGAUCACAAAUCAAGGAACAAAACCUUCCUUCUCCGGGAAAGAUCUGCACCCCUGUUUGGUGGCAUUCCAGCUUUUGUCCAGUUCAAAGCCCGGAGACGUCAAACCGGAGGACGCCCAUCAGCUGGUUUCUCGACGCGCGCAUCUGGACGUAGCGAACAGUGCGAGGCCUGCGCUGGGUGAGAUCUGCACAUUUUCUUUUUCUUAGGGCGCCCUAAACUAUUUUUUUUCCUGGUAUACCAGAGAGACUAUUUUUUUCCCUUGUAUUUGCCCUUGUUCGGACGGAUUACGGGACACGGACACGUAGCGUUUCGGGUUUAUUUUUGGACUUUGAACUCUUAAGGUGGACCGGUUCUGUGGGAGGGGAAAACGUUUUGGUGUUUGAAAAAAAGGACGUUUGGUUCAUUCAUUAAAAAAAUUGUAUAUGUGAAGUUUGAGUAAGCUUUAAGUUAUUAAAAUAUAUAUAUAUUUAUUCAUCUGUGGGGACAUUGAACAUACCCUGAUUUUUUGUUUUUUUGUUAACUUACAUUAAAAUAACCUAAUGUUUGUUACAACCAUCCAAAUUCAAAGCCCUUAACAUCCGGUCUACCCACUUUACGAAGGACCUGGCCAUCGACUGAAUUUGGACACAGCCUGUGAGACAAAGGUGUUAACCACUACAACACUGUGUAAUUACUACUGACCAUCUUAAUUAGCUUUAAAAAAAAAAGAAAAAAAA